rnacentral:rRNA from 1 species
CUACGGGGCGCUCCAGUGGGGAAUAUUGGACAAUGGGCGAAAGCCUGAUCCAGCCAUGCCGCGUGAGUGAUGAAGGCCCUAGGGUUGUAAAGCUCUUUCAGUGGUGAAGAUAAUGACGGUAACCACAGAAGAAGCCCCGGCUAACUUCGUGCCAGCAGCCGCGGUAAUACGAAGGGGGCUAGCGUUGUUCGGAUUUACUGGGCGUAAAGCGCACGUAGGCGGAUUGGUAAGUUAGGGGUGAAAUCCCGGAGCUCAACUCCGGAACUGCCUUUAAUACUGCCAGUCUUGAGUCCGAGAGAGGUGAGUGGAAUUCCUAGUGUAGAGGUGGAAUUCGUAGAUAUUAGGAAGAACACCAGUGGCGAAGGCGGCUCACUGGCUCGGUACUGACGCUGAGGUGCGAAAGCGUGGGGAGCAAACAGGAUUAGAUACCCUCGUAGUC